rnacentral:rRNA from 1 species
GACGAACGCUGGCGGCGUGCUUAACACAUGCAAGUCGAACGGAAAGGCCCUGCUUUUGUGGGGUGCUCGAGUGGCGAACGGGUGAGUAACACGUGAGUAACCUGCCCUUGACUUUGGGACAACUUCAGGAAACUGGGGCUAAUACCGGAUAGGAGCUCCUGCUGCAUGGUGGGGGUUGGAAAGUUUCGGCGGUUGGGGAUGGACUCGCGGCUUAUCAGCUUGUUGGUGGGGUAGUGGCUUACCAAGGCUUUGACGGGUAGCCGGCCUGAGAGGGUGACCGGCCACAUUGGGACUGAGAUGCGGCCCAGACUCCUACGGGAGGCAGCGGUGGGGAAUAUUGCACAAUGGGCGGAAGGCUGAUGCAGCAACGCCGCGUGCGGGAUGACGGCCUUCGGGUUGUAAACCGCUUUCGCCUGUGACGAAGCGUGAGUGACGGUAAUGGGUAGAGAAGCACCGGCUAACUACGUG